GCCGGGGUGGCCGAGCGGUCUAAGGCGGCGGGCUGCAGACCCGCUAAAUCGCGGGUUCGAAUCCCGCCCCCGGCU
rnacentral:tRNA from 1 species